rnacentral:rRNA from 1 species
GUAAUUAGUAACACCUGCUCCAUGUAAAAUAAAUAGCCGCAGAAUUUUUACUGUGCUAAGGUAGCAUAAUCAUUAGCCUUUUAAUUAAAGGCUUGUAUGAAAGGUGAAACGUUUAAAUUUCUUUAUUUUAUUAUUACCUCCAAAAUUCUCUUAAGAAUUAAAAGAUUCUUAUUAAAUAACCAGACGACAAGACCCUAUUGAACUUUACUGAAGUUUAACUGGGGCAGUUAAUUAAUAAUCAUUUUAAUUUAUAUUAUUAUAUAAAUGACCCAAUUACCAUUGAUUACAUGAAUUAAGUUACCAUAGGGAUAACAGCGUAAUUUUUUUUUAAAGUUCAUAUAACAAAAAAAGAUUGCGACCUCGAUGUUGAAUUAUUGUUACAUAUUAAGGCGCAAAAGCUUAUAAUGUGGGUCUGUUCGACCUUUAAAACUUUACGUGAUC